AAACAACAUCAGAGUUUUACAAGGUUCAGUAGAAAAACAACAACAAAAGGUAAAGCAACUAGCGGAAGCGAACUCGUCGGGGUCGGACAUCCCUGGUGAGGCCAACCGGGACGUCAAUGAUCCCUCUCCUCACCGUCCGAGGAGGGAUCCCACUUAAUCGUCCAACCCGGAGGGAGUUGGGGCGGCCAAGUGCCAGCAAAAGGAGGCUCAGGGGCAGCAACUUCACCUGAAAAAGAAGAGCCACAGCGAGGCUGAGCUACUAAGCUCAACAAGACUUAACCGACAGGGAGCGCGCUAAACUACCUCUUCUAGACAUGCAAGGCUUUUUGGCUGAGGGGUUUGUUUGCCAAAAGCGCUAAGUGUAUCCCUACUUUCAAGUUUUAGCUCCGGUUCUAAGUUCAUUAUCCGAUCCAAGUUUGCAACCUAUUCUAAGCAAGCAUAGAACCAACCAAAGGUAUAUACACAAUCAACACGACCAUGUCAUCAUCAGAUUCCUUAUUUACUCAGGGUGACAUAGCGAUCAAGUAGUCUCAAACUGUGAGAGGCAGACGAAUCGAUUCGAGUUUCUUAACCAUGCAUAGCAAACCUAAUCUCACGACAUCUACGCACCACAAGGGCCGCUUCCUGUGUCGGCCGUCCCCAUCGAUUCCCAGGCGCGUGUCAGGUCCAAACUUCCCUUGGCAUGCAAUGCUCCACAGUCCCGGCCUCUGCCGUACUGUGACCGCACUUGUACCCACAUGAUGCACCAUGGGAACCUCGUUCCAGGGACAACAGGGGUAUAAGCCACGCCCUAGUUCAAUAAGGUACUAGGCUUCCCCAUCCCAUACUAGGUAUGAGAUUAGUACUUUCAAACACUUGAUCACGAACACCACCACUGUCGGGCCUUAGCAAGUUUCAUAGACAGACGGGGCGAUCAACCGACCACAAAAGAGUUACCCCAAAACCCUACCCCAUCCAUCGUCCUUAUAGUUGUAACAGAAGGGUAGACAUCCAACUCCUACAACUCGCGAGUGAUAGGGAAUCACUCGGCUUUUACCGUUUCCUAUUUAAGCAAGGCAUCUACUCGGUCCAACAGCUAGUGUUCAGAUCAAGAGAGCUAAGUUAUGCAUCUAUGGUUCCAAACAACUCCUAUACAUAAAUGCACAAGCAUGUUAAGAAGGCAUGCGCAAGUCUGGUAAAACGUAGGGGAAUCAUGCAUCCGGGGCUAGCCUUCGAGCAAGGAGGAAGGGAACUGCUCGUCUUCUUGGGCAGCUUCGGCUUCUGGAAGCAGGAGCUCAGCUACACC
rnacentral:lncRNA from 1 species